rnacentral:rRNA from 1 species
GGUGAACGCUGGCGGCGUGCUUAAGACACGCAAGUCGAACGGCAGUCUUCGGACUGUAGUGGCGCACGGGUGAGUAACGCGUAACUGACCUACCCCAAAGUCGCGGAUAACGAUUCGAAAGAAUCGCUAAUACGUGAUGUGCUGUCAGAUUGUGUUCUGCCAGUAAAGAGUGAUUGCUUUGGGAUGGGGUUGCGUUCCAUCAGCUAGUUGGUGGGGUAAAGGCCCACCAAGGCGACGACGGAUAGCCGGCCUGAGAGGGGGGCCGGCCACAGGGGCACUGAGACACGGGUCCCACUCCUACGGGAGGCAGCAGUUAGGAAUCUUCCACAAUGGGCGAAAGCCUGAUGGAGCGACGCCGCGUGAGGGAUGAAGGUCUUCGGAUCGUAAACCUCUGAAUCAGGGACGAAAGACACUUCGGUGGGAUGACGGUACCUGAGUAAUAGCACCGGCUAACUCCGUGCCAGCCGCCGCAGUAAUAC